GGCCUCCCUCUUUGAGGCGAUCGAUUGUGGAGCCCCCCCAUUGAUUGCCCCACAGAGGGUGGCC
rfam:Myotis davidii contig324522, whole genome shotgun sequence.